ACAAGCAGCCAUAUCACCAUGUAACCCAAGACUGGUUGCCCACUGAAGCUAAGCAGGGUUGAGCCUGGUCAGUACCUGGAUGGGAGACCUCCUGGGAAAACUACUGGUUGCUGCUGGAA
rnacentral:rRNA from 1 species